CAAUUCCCCGUCGCCCACACUGCAGCCAGGUGCAAGUCCCUUCCUGGCUUCAGACAGCCCGCCUCCCGUUGCGACCGCAGACCCGCUGGCUCCGGGCCUCGGCCUGGGUGGUGGGUGGUGCUCGCGCCGCCCCCACCUUCCCCUGGGGCCGUGGAGAGCUGCGCGCUGGGCAUGUGUGCGCGCGCGCGCGGGUUUGGUGGGGAAGUCUCCUUCAGUGGAAGCUGCUGAGUCUCGCUGGCGGAGAGUAUCUUGGAUCCCAGCAAAAGCCUCCAGAUUUCUAGAGCUCCCCUAAAGAAAAUACCGAAUAAAAGAAAGACAAGAAGGGAAACCCGUCCCCCUAAAGCUUGGGUUUCCCGUAGUCUCGGAUCCUCUCUGAGCUGGGUAGGGGCGCAGUGGCCGCUGUUCGCACCCGGACUUGGAAAUCCCAUUUUGCCCCCUUUCGGGAGAAGGAAGGUGAGGGACUUGCAGGCAAGAGUUGCACCUGAUCUAGGAUCUAUCUGCAGGCAAGAGAACUCUGGGGAGGAGAACCGCCCUGGAGCGGAGCAGCCACCCUCUGACCAUGCCCCGGUGAGCGGGGCGGACUUCGAGGGCAACUUGCCGCGGACGGCCCGGGCUUAGCCAGCGAGCUCCGAGCUGCCGGGAGCCCGGACCUGCACGGCGCGGCCCGGCGGGGGGCUGUCGUCUAUGUCUUCUUGGGGCACCAGGAGGAUCGGAGUCUCGUUUUUUCAGGAAGAGCCCAGCGCUGGUGGCUUCAGGUGGCUGCCGCCGCCACCGCCGCUAGUGCUCUUUCCGCGGCUGGUCCGAGGAGCAGAGACGCGCGAGCGGGGAGACCUCCGAGGCAGCGAGGCACCGGACAUGUGUCAGCACAUCUGGGGCGCCCAUCCGUCGAGCCCGAGGGGAGAUUUGCCGGAACAAUUCAAACUGCGAUAUUGAUCUCGGGGGUGACAAUCCCUGGCCGGCUGUCGGGUGGGAGUGCGUGUGCGCUCGCUCAAGAGUGUGUGCGUGUGUGUAUGUGUGUGUGCCGUGCUGGGCUCCCCCCUGCCCCCCGUUUUCCCGUCGAGUGAUGCACUUGGAAUGAGAAUCAGAGGAUGGAAAUAGUCUGGGAGGUGCUUUUUCUUCUUCAAGCCAAUUUCAUCGUCUGCAUAUCAGCUCAACAGAAUUCACCAAAAAUCCAUGAAGGCUGGUGGGCAUACAAGGAGGUGGUCCAGGGAAGCUUUGUUCCAGGUAA